rnacentral:rRNA from 1 species
AUGGAGCAAGCAGACGAAGCAUCGUCGGUGAACAAGGGGAGCCCAGAGCGGCUUACCAUCGACCAGGACGACGGCGCGUCGUGGCUGAGCCUCACGGUCGGCGCAAACGGAUCGGCGGAGGCGGCGGCAAACUGCUCCGAGCCUGAGCCUGAUCCUGAGCCCAAGCCUUCUGCUGCCCCACACAAGGUUUUCUCAUGCAACUUUUGCAUGAGGAAGUUCUUCAGCUCACAGGCGCUGGGCGGCCACCAGAACGCCCACAAGAGGGAGCGCAGCGCCGCCAAGCGCUCUUACCAUGCACAGAGGAUGGUGAUGGGGCUGCCUCUCGAGGCGCAUGCCGCCUUUGUGCAGUCCCUGCGAGUUAGCCAGAGCUCAGUGAUUCAGAAGUCCAGCCAGCCAGCACAAAUCAGGACAGCGCCAAGGUUUCAUGAAGAUGGGAUGACCUGGGCAACAAUCCCCUGCGAGGAGGUGCUCAACUCAACAUGGCCAGGAAGCUUCAGAGCGAGGACACAACCUUCAGAGCAACAACCAUCAGAACAAAGUAAGAUAGACUUGAAUCUCAGGCUUUGA